CUGCUUUAUCAGGUCUCAGAGCACAAAUCAGAGCUCUGCUACAGAUCACAUGAUCAACCAGGAUGAAGGUCAACAGAGUGAACAUCCUUCUCCUCUCCACGGUGAUGCUUGUGUCUAUGAAUCAAUCAAAGGCCCUGAAGACAUUGAAAAUGGUACAGUAUGU